rnacentral:rRNA from 1 species
GAUGAACGCUGGCGGCGUGCCUAAUACAUGCAAGUCGAGCGAACAGACGCUGUGCUUGCUGCUCUGACAUGAGCGGCGGACGGGUGAGUAACACGUGGAUAACCUGCCUAUAAGACUGGGAUAACUUCGGGAAACCGGAGCUAAUACCGCAUAAUAUAUUGAACCGCAUGGUUCAUUAGUGAAAGACGGUUUUGCUGUCACUUAUAGAUGGAUCCGCGCCGCAUUAGCUAGUUAGUAAGGUAACGGCUUACCAAGGCAACGAUGCGUAGCCGACCUGAGAGGGUGAUCGGCCACACUGGAACUGAGACACGGUCCAGACUCCUACGGGAGGCAGCAGUAGGGAAUCUUCCGCAAUGGGCGAAAGCCUGACGGAGCAAUGCCGCGUGAGUGAUGAAGGUCUUCGGAUCGUAAAGCUCUGUUAUUAGGGAAGAACAAAUGUGUAAGUAACUAUGCACGUCUUGACGGUACUUAAUCAGAAAGCCACGGCUAACUACGUG